GAUAAGCGCUGAAAGCAUCUAAGCGCGAAGCCUUCCGCAAGAUUAGAACUCCUCAUUAGGGUCGUCACAGACGAUGACGUGGAUAGGGUGCAGGUGUAUAGACGGCGACGUCACAGCCGAGCACUACUAAUAGCCCGAAGCUUUCAUU
rnacentral:rRNA from 1 species